rnacentral:rRNA from 1 species
UACGUAGGGCGCAAGCGUUGUCCGGAAUUAUUGGGCGUAAAGAGCUCGUAGGCGGUUUGUCGCGUCUGCUGUGAAAUCCCGAGGCUCAACCUCGGGCUUGCAGUGGGUACGGGCAGACUAGAGUGCGGUAGGGGAGACUGGAAUUCCUGGUGUAGCGGUGGAAUGCGCAGAUAUCAGGAGGAACACCGAUGGCGAAGGCAGGUCUCUGGGCCAUUACUGACACUGAGAAGCGAAAGCAUGGGGAGCGAACAGG